rnacentral:rRNA from 1 species
UACGAGGGGGGCCCGCGUUGUUCGGCAUUAUUGGGCGUAAAGGGCGCGUAGGCGGCGCCACAAGUCACUUGUGAAAACUCUGGGCUCAACUCAGAGCCUGCAAGCGAAACUGUGGUGCUGGAGUAUGGGAGAGGUGCGUGGAAGUCCCGGUGGAGCGGUGAAAUGCGGAGAUAUCGGGAGGAACACCUGUGGCGAAAGCGGCGCACUGGACCAUAACUGACGCUGAGGCGCGAAAGCUAGGGGAGCAAACAGG